rnacentral:lncRNA from 1 species
GGGCUAUAUAAAGCUUUUAUCAUGUUCUGUGUGGCAUACACACACACACAAAAAAUCAAGAUGUUUACAUGUCCUUAUUCUUCAGAAUGAGAGAAAUAAAAACGCUCAACUCUUUGGUUUGUAGAUUGUGAGUUUUCAGGAACAGAUGAGAUGAGAAAAGCGCCAUCCAGUGUGCAGACUCCUGCCCUUGCAAGCUACUGCCAGAAGACCAUUCAGACAAAGAUCACACUUCCUUUAUAAGUUUCUUCAUCGCUUUGAUGAAGUUGAAAUUCAACAAUUUAAACGCUAGAUGGCAGGAUAAGGACGGAGUAAAACUGCCGGAAAGACCACAUGCAGCUGCCUGUACUCACAGUAUGAGGCUAAAUCCAGAAGAAAAAAAAAGGCACAGAGUUCAUCCCAGGCUUUACAGCUCCC